rnacentral:rRNA from 1 species
UUGAUAGGCCGGAGGUGUAAGUGCGGUAACGCAUUCAGCCGACCGGUACUAAUCGGCCGAGGGCUUGGAUCG